UUUAUAUAUUUAUAUAUAUUUAUAUAUGAUUAGAUAACAGUAGAAGAUUAAGAAAACAUCAAUAAAUUAUUUUCUGAUUUGUUUACUUACAAUGAUAAAAGUGACAUUAUCAGGGAUGACUGCUUAGUUAAGCGUUUGAAAAGUAAAGUUAGAUUUCUAUUUAUAAAUUUCAAGACAUGAUUGAAUAUGAACAAUCAAAUCGUGGAAAUACUAAGAAAAUGUGGGUGAAUAUAUAACAUUGGAGUGAGAGAACACUUUUAUGGCAGAAUCUUUAAAGAUUGCUGAGUAUAUAAUGUUUUGACAUAAGUAAUUUAAAGGCAAAUAAUUAGAGCACAAAAGAUAGAAAAGGUAAUAAAUGAAGUCUUAAAUUCAUUCCAGUAAAAAAUAAUUUGUAUCCAGUAAAAAAAAAAAAAAAGCACUCCAAUAGGAAAUGGGUAAUAAAGAUGAAAAAAGGUAGUAUCCAGUAGUUAAAACUACCAUAUUCUUAAGAUGAUAUUUAGUGUUGGUGAAACUGUAGGGGAAUGUAAAACAGAAUAUAGCCUUUCCAGCAAGUAUCAGAUUUUCAAAAUGUGCACAGAUCAUUCACUGUCAUCCUCUUAUUCCUAGAAUACAAAUCAGACUAAUGAACAUGGCUUACAAAAUCCUGAAAGGUUGUGCUCUCGCCUCCUGUCAGUUUGAGCUCCUCCUUAAUUCCUGGUUUAGCUAGGCUGCUCUUCCAAUUCCUGCACCUUCCAGCCCCGGACUUUUUAAAUUGCUGUUCUUUUUGCUGCAAACACACACAGUUUCUUCCUUCUUUGCCUCACUAGCACUAAUGACUCAUCAGAUCUCAGCAUAAUUGCCAAUUCUUUGGGAGGCUUUUCCCUGGAAGCACAGUUUAUUACUUUGCCUUUAACACUGUUGCAGUUUACAUUUAUUUCCUUGUUUCUCUCACCAUAUAGAAGGGAUGAAGUUGGGGAGAACCUGGUAUUUAGUUCAGUCCUGGAUGAGUGCCAGCAGAAGUUUGAAAGGAUGUCAUGCAUGUGUGAGAUUUAGCUUUCCAGAUAUUCAUUGCAUUGUUGGUUACUAGGAAAAAAAUCAGAAUUAGCAGAUGUUCAGCAGAGUGAGCUAUGGCCACAUUUGAACACUGUUUGGGUCCAUGAUUAGGGAUGGCUUAUUUCAAGACUGAUGUAAUUAUUGCAUCCAGAAGAAAGGUCUGGAUUUUAACCUGGGAGCUAAAUAGAUAAACUAUCAAAGCUGGCAGAAAUGCCCCAUGGGUCAGAGCCUAAAGCCAGGUACAGGGUGGGGAGAGGAUGCAGAGUUAAUUGUGAGACUGAUCAGUUUCAUUUCUGUUGGAAGUUGGAGAGAAGAUAAUUGGAGCUGUAGAUCUCACUGGGGGUGGGCAGCAUUGUGGGGACACCCCUCUGGAGGAAAUGAGCAAGUCCCUGCCUCCUAGCAGCAGGGUGGGGCCUAAGGAGAAAGGUCCUGGUUAUAAACUCCUGUGAAGGGAUGUCACAGGUUCUAAGAACACUGAAAUGCGUGAGCCACUGUUAUUUUUCCUACAUUGUUAAUUCCCUUCUGUUAGCCUCACAUUCAUUAAGUCUUUGUCAAGAACUACAGCCCAAUGUGAGCUGUGUUUUGGAUGAUUCAGGGAGGGACUGUGUCCAUACUGGGGCCAGAUGGUACCUAGGUGGCUGGGGUAAUCCAAACACUGGUCUCAAGGCCAGAUUGUGACUAGUAACAACCAGGAUAUAUGUUUCUGGAAUAUAAACACUUCUAGGACUUCUUACAUUAUUAUACAUUACCAUAAAGACUAGACCUACAGUGAGAGGGUCAGAUUUAUGUUAGAUAGGUAAAAGAAAAGGGUGAUCUGGAGGGCUGGAGAAUUGGAGACAUUCACAUCAUACUUUGGUGACAUAAUUAGAUGCCACAGCUCACCAGUAUUGUAACUAUUUUCCUUGGCUCUUUCUACCAUCGCUAUUGAAAUUAGGCUUUUCAAAUUAGUGGCAGGAAAGGCCAUAUUUGGAGCUUCAAAUACACAGUCCCAGUGGCAGUUCUUGCCUCUGUGUUUUUUUGUUGUUGUUGUUUGCUUGUUUGUUUUGAGACGGAGUCUCACUCUAUCGCCCAGGCUGGAGUGCAGUGGCACUAUUUCGGCUCACUGCAACCUCUGCCUCAGCCUCCCAAGUAGCUGGGAUUACAAGCGCCUGCCAACACGCCCAGCUAAUUUUUGUAUUUUUAAUAGAGAUGGGGUUUCACCAUUUUGGCCAGGCUGGUCCUGAACUCCUGACCUCCUGAUCCACCUGCCUCGGCCUCCCAAAGUGCUGGGAUUACAGGCGUGAGCCACUGCGUCCGGCCUUGCCUCACCGUUAAAAGACUACAAUAUGACGUGAUACAUCAGCUUUUUCGAAGUCCAGUGUACGUCAGACCCUGAGGCCUGCAGUAUCUGGAAUGGUGUUGCUGGAUGUGCAAAACUGCCAGGCUCUGGCUUGUGGUGUUCUCAUCUACCAGAUCAUUCCUGGGAGGCCCAAUUUGGCCAGCUGGCUCACCUCUGCCGGUGGUAUUGCUAGCAUUGCACAUUGGAACUGCAGCUUGGGAAAGUGAUAGAAACCAAACACAUGGUGGGUACAAAGCAAGUUUGUUGUAUUUUAUCCACAUUAGUAUUUUGGAUGUUUCAAUAUUUAAACAUUUCAAAAAGCAAAAUCAAUGAUAAUACUUCUUGAAUGUGUUGUGAACAAUGCAAGCCUUUUAUUAAAAAUUAUGGAAUAUUCGAAAGAAAUGUUUUUCUUACAAGAGAGCAGAGAAUAAUUACUCAGGGUUCCUGUGUCAAAGCCUCUAGGGCCCCUUUACUGUCCAGAAUUCUUAGUAAGUGGAAAACCUUUCCCAAGCACAAUGAAGUCUCAACCCUGAUACGGGCAGGACAGCAAAAGACCUGUCUCCUCUUUCCAGAGCAAACCCCAGUGGUUGCACCUGUCCUCCCAUUACACUUUGGGGAUAAACCCUGGAGGCCAUAGUGUAGGGGACCAGUUUCAUGGGUCUUGUUGCCAAAGCUUACUUUUUUGAUCCUACUGCUAAAUUCUGACCCUUCCUCCAAUUGAUCUGCUUUCCAAAAAGAGCAUACCAACACCUGCACAAACCAUUUGAUGUGGUGCAGUAAGCUGUUUCAUCCAAGUGUUCCAAAGCCAUAGGAUGAGCAAGGGGGAAAAACUUAGACCUGUAUAGGAUCUUCCCCCAGGUAGUUACUCUUUCACAGGGGGUGCAUGGGAGACAGGCUGCUGUUGUGCCAUCCUUUCCAUUACAUAAUGAUAACAACUGUUACUUGGAAUGCUUUAAUGCUUGAUGUUAUUUAUGUUUAAAUAUUUGCUGUAUUCCUGGCUCUGUGCUAAAUGCUAUGCCUGCAUCUUAAAAAAUCCUUAAAAUAACUCAAGGUAGGUACCAUUGUUGCUUCCAUUCUCCAGAUGGGACACUAAGACUUUAAGAAGUUAAAUAGCUCACCUGAAAACACACAGCUAGUAAGUAACACAAUGGAGACUUGAACCCAAGUCUAUUCUACUCUAGACCAUGGACUCCAAGAUUAAUUAAUUAUGCAAAUAAGGAAUGUGGAGAGUUCAGCCUUGAGCAAAGGGAGAUUAGCUUGUUUUGCACCAACUCUUCUGCUGAGGAAAGGACAAAAGCCAGAAUAUACAUACCUAUUCAGGGAUCAGAGGGCUGUUGAGAAAGCAAGGGCUAAUAUUCGAGAGACCUACAUUUGAUACUGUUCGUUUCCCCCUCAAGGGACUUGCUAAUUCAAGGGCAGGGGCUGAGAAACUGAACAGAAUUUGUAGAAGACUAAUGCAGACCAAAAAUUAGAGUUGGGGUCCAAGUAGAAGCAGCCCUGGAAAACACCCCAGACUUUCUCGUGGGACCCCAAAGAGCUACUCUUUGAUUAAAGGUGAAUUGGUUAUGGGCCUGUCCUCACAAGGACUGAAGCCCAGCCUCAGAUCUAGUGGAUAGCCAGAAGCAAAAACAAAGCCCCUCUGAAGGAGGACAUGGUCUAAUUUCUCAAAUUUUCUCUAUUAAUUGUUUUCAAAGUCUGCUUAAGAAAUAGGAAUGCAAAAACACAAGAUUCGACCAACAAUGAGAAAGUGAACAAUAGAAACAGACCUCCAGGAAAUUCACGUAGUUAACAUUAUCUGACCGGUGUCUUACAAUAACUAUGAUUAAAAUGUUCAUGAAUUAAAUGACCAAAUGGAACAACUUCAGGAGAGAACUGGACACUAUGUUUAAAAUUCUAGAAUUGAAAAAUAAUAUAACAAUUUAAGAAAUCAGUAGAUGGCUCUGAUAGACACAACUUAAGAGAUAGGUAAUGAAAUGAAAGAUAAGAAAAUAUCCAGACUGGUGCUGGGGGUAAAUAGGAAGACAACUAUUCGAAGAGUUAAUGGUUAAGGUUGUUCCCAAAUUAAUGAAAGACAUUAAGCCACAUAAAUAAGAAAUGCUGUUGACCUCUAAGCAGGAUAAGUUACAAUGAAAGUUAUACUUAAUUACUUCAUAGUAAAACUACUGGAAAACAAAGACUAAUUUUAAAAGUAGCCAGAGGAAAAAUAUAUAUUACUUUCAAAGGAGCAACAGCAAGCCUUGAGAGGGAAUUUUCAGCAGAAGUAAUGAUAGUGGAAAAUGGAAUGGUGUUUUCAAAGAGCUUCAAGAAAAUAAUAGUCAACCUAGAAGACUAUGAGGCAAAAAUAUCCUUCCAAAGACACGUCCAGACAAAGGAAAAUAGAAUUUGCCACCAAUGAAAAGUACCAAAAGUAUGAAAGGAAAGUACUAAAGGGUGUUGUUGGAGCAGAAGGAAAAUGAUCACUGACCACAGCUGGAGGUGCAGAAAGGCAUUGAAAGGCAAUGGAAAGGGUAAGUAUGUGUAUAAAACUAAAUAAAUAUUGAAUGUGUGAAACAACUUUUUACUUUCUGGGGUCUUAAAUAUAUAAAGAACUAAAAUACAUCACCAAGAGAAGCACGUUAAGUGUGGAGGGAGGUAAAUGUAGGGGUCCCCAACAUUUCUGGCACCAGAGACCAGUUUUGUGGAAGAUAAUUUUUUCCCAGACAGUGGGUGGAGGGGUGGAGGGAUUGGGAGCAUGGUGUUGGGAUGACACUGUCCCACCUUAAAUCAUCAGGCAUUAGAUUCUCAUAAGGAGUGCACAACCUAGAUCCCUCACAUGCACAGUUCACAAUAGGGUUAGCGCUCCUAUGAGAAUCUAAUGCUGCUGUUGGUCUGACAGGAGGUGGAGCUCAGGCGGUAAUGCUUGCUGGCUUGCCACCCAUCUCUUGCUGUGCAGCCCAGUUCCUGACAGGCCACUGACCAGUACUGGUUCACAGCCUGGGGACUGUGGACCCCUGGGUAAAUGGAAUUAAAGUAUUCUGAAGUCCUUGAAUUGUCUUGAAAGUGAAAAUGGUGGAGGCACUGAUUUAUAUUAGAAAUUAAUAAAUCAGGGGUACAUGUUUCAGUUUCUACGGUAUUUUGUAAAAGAAUAAGAGUAUGUAAAACUAACAAGAUAACAGAAGGAGAAUAUGAAAUAAAAUAAUCCAAAGGAAGGCAAAAAGAAAAAAAGGCGCAUAGAACAGAUGGGAACAAAUAGAAAACAAACACCCACAUGCAUCAAUCUCUACAUCAAGCAUAUGUGGACUAAAUAUUCCAAUUCAAAGGCAAUAUUAUUAUCACCCUGGAUAAAGAACAAAUAUAAUUCUCUGAGACUUAAAAACAACAUACCUUAAACAAGGAUACAGAAAGAUGGAAAGUAAAAGGAUGGAAAAAGGACUAUCAUGCAAGUAUUAACCAAAAGGAAGCUGGUGUAUUUAGUACACGAAGUGAACUUUCAGGUAUUACCAGAGUAUGAAGGAUAUUUCAUAAUGAUAAAGGGCUUGCUUUACCAGUACUAUACCGAUGGCUGAGGUAUUUGGGCUGUCUGUGAGGCUCAGAUGGGCUGCCUGUGGCCCUGCCUCACCUUGGAGAUGGCCCAGGAAGCUAACUGAGACUUGGAGUUGGUCGAAGAGGAGCCAGACUCUAAAUAUUUGAAGAUUGUGUGCGUAUGUGUGUGUGUGUUUAGGGGAAAACAUGAGAGGUAGAGUACUAUUCAAAAGGACAAGAAGUGGAACAUUUUCUUUUAUAAAUCAAAUAAAUGGUGGCUCUGAGCCUUCCCCCACCUCCUGCCUUUUUUGGGUCCAGAUUGCUAAGAAAUGUUAUUAAUGAUAGCUCACACUUACGACAUUAUUGCCUUCUAAGUGCUUUGUAGGUAUUAAUUUAUUUAAUCCUCACAACAGCCUUAGGAGACAGGCAUCAUCACUACCAUCGCCAUUUUACAGAUGGAAAAACCAGCAACCAUCAGAGCUGGUAUUCAAAAUAAGCCAAUUCAGAUUCCGAGUCCCGGCUCCUAACCAUGGAGUGGCCUCAGGGUUUUAUAGUUUGUCCGGCUCUUUGGAUGAACAUCACACCUCAUGGAGGAGAGUCCCUUCCAUUUUAACGGCUCCAGGUUGUCAUGGAAAUCCUCUGUAUACAAGAGGGUAAGGAGGAGGAUGAGAAGCAAUACAUGCUUAUUGGGACUUUCUAUCAUCCCAGGACUUAUCCAGGUACAUUAUAACAAUGUUGAAUACAGUAUUAGUCCCAUUUUAACUAUGAGGAAAAUAAGGUUUGGACUGUCAGAGACAGAGCAAGACACAUUGGUAAGGGCAGACAAGGGAUUCAUCUGACUCCAAUGCCUCUUCCUUGGUAAACCAGACUGGCUUGUCACACCGUGAAAUUAGAGUCAACUUGUUAAAUCUUGACAGGUUGCUAAAUUAUUAAUUACACCCCCAGGAGCUGUGACUGGAGCAGCAGGGAUGCUAUGGCUGCACUGUACUAUUUUUAGCACUAGAUGGUGCUGUAACACUGCACAUCUCUUCCGCGGUGGCCCUUGGAGGAAGGUUACUUCAGGGCUUGGAGACCCUGGAGGGAAGGAUGCUACCUUACCAGAGCGUGAAAAAAACAUGGAAGACAGGAUACUCUCGGGCCCUGAGAAAGCUGGAGACUGUAGCCACCAGGUGGCUCCAGGAUGUGCAGUACUGGCGUCUGGGUUUUGCUCACACAACCGUGAACUCCUGGUCCCACCGAGCCCUAGCGAGUGGAUUGGAGCACACACCCACCCACCUCCUCAGAGCUCCUACGAGUAGAGGAGGUACCUAGGCACGUGGGAGCUUGGCGCCUUGUUAGGUGCUCAGGAUACUGGUUGUCCGGAAUCCCAGUGAGGUGCAGUCCCGCCCUUGUGCCACUUUCCCAUGCGCUUCCUGCCCCUCUGGGGGCUGCAGAGGCUGCAGAGUUGUCCAGCUUGAGAAACUGUAUCAAGGUUGCUCCCUGACGGCCUGGCAACUCGCUGAAGAGCUGCCUUCAGUUCAGAACAGUUUUAGGGAGAUUGUCAUAAACUCAAUGAGUUUAAAUGAUUUUACACUGACUCUUCAAAAAUGUCAAGGUCAUGAAAGACAAAGGCCGAGGAACUGCCCCAGACUGGAGGAGGCGGGAGACAUGGCAGCUGUGAAUGCACCGUGGGUCCUGAACCAGAAAAAGGAGCUCAGUGGGACGAUUGGUAACUUUUUGAUGCAAUCUGUCGCAUCUGAAAAGAAAACACAAGAGGUUCGGUUGGUGCAAUGUUCCUUUCUUCCCAGGACUUUCUGGUCUUCAAGGCUUUCUCAUGAGACAGAAGACUGAUGGAUGUAGAAGUUUCUAAGAGGACAGUUACGCUGCCAUGUUUUGAAGCAGGAAGACGUUACCACUUCUCAAAGGUCUUUAAUUGCCUGACCACUGCUUCUCUUUGGAAGGCUGUCAGGGUGAUGGAAUCUCAGAUCACAGCACAGAUAAAAUGGACAAAGAAAGAAAGAUACAAGAAGGAUGUAAAAAUGUCCAUAAUGAACUCAUGUAUCUUGCGGAAACCUCUAAUCUAAUGAGAAUGGAUUUUGUUGAGAAGAUUGUACACCAACAAUUAAUUAUUCAUGGCAGAGA
rnacentral:lncRNA from 1 species